GAUGAACGCUGGCGGCGUGCCUAAUACAUGCGAGUCGAGCGAACAGACGAGGAGCUUGCUCCUCUGACGUUAGCGGCGGACGGGUGAGUAACACGUGGAUAACCUACCUAUAAGACUGGGAUAACUUCGGGAAACCGGAGCUAAUACCGGAUAAUAUAUUGAACCGCAUGGUUCAAUAGUGAAAGACGGUUUUGCUGUCACUUAUAGAUGGAUCCGCGCCGCAUUAGCUAGUUGGUAAGGUAACGGCUUACCAAGGCAACGAUGCGUAGCCGACCUGAGAGGGUGAUCGGCCACACUGGAACUGAGACACGGUCCAGACUCCUACGGGAGGCAGCAGUAGGGAAUCUUCCGCAAUGGGCGAAAGCCUGACGGAGCAACGCCGCGUGAGUGAUGAAGGUCUUCGGAUCGUAAAACUCUGUUAUUAGGGAAGAACCAAUGUGUAAGUAACUAUGCACGUCUUGACGGUACCUAAUCAGAAAGCCACGGCUAACUACGUG
rnacentral:rRNA from 1 species